AUGAGAAUGCAGCGAAACUUUUGCUUAAUAACCACGCCGACCCCAGGAAUUCUCUCACGCAGAGGUAAGAACAUUAAAAAAGAAAGGAAGUACAGAGGGUGUGUAACAAUGGAAGAUUGCAUGGAAAGUUCUCCUUUGCUGUUAGUACAUCUUAGGAAAACAUUCAGCUGGAACAUAACCAGGCUCAUAGGACUCAGCUUACUUCCCUUUUCUCUGAAGAUGCCAGAAGCUACUUUCUUUCCAGAGACUUUUCUUCCUCCGAGACAGACUGUGAGAUGGGAUUCUUCUCACCUCCUCUCUCGUGCCCAGAGCUGCUGAAAUGACUUGCAGUCCCAGAGCUGCUAGAGUGAAUUAGCAGUUGGCAAGGUGUCCCCUGAACUAAAGAAGUUGUAUAUUGGGCCAGAAGCAGACCUGGAAGAAGCUGAUGACAAAGGCCUGCCAACAGUGCUGAGACUGUAAGUUAAGAUCAUUCGCACUUCCAUCUUUGUAGGCAGCCUGUGAUGUGAGUUUGGAGACUGCCCAGAUGAAAGCCCUGAAUUGGAAUUCAAGAUCUUUGAAAUUAGCCCUGGCUCCAUCAUCACUAGCUGUGUGACCUUGGGCAAGUAAUUUAAUCUCUCAGAAGUCUGAGUUUCCUCAUCUGGAAGAAGAAUUCCAGUUCAACAUUCUGAUUUUUAAGAUGAAAACUGCCAAUCUGCACAUUGUGUGAGUGGCUAACAUCUGAAUAGCAUUUAAUAUUGUACGAAGCUUUUCUUCAGCUGCCUUGCUAUGCAGACAUGAUUACCAUAAUUUUCCCAGUGAAUAAAUAGUCUUGUAGGAUCAGGUGAAUUGCCCAAGGUCUCACAAUUAAUAAAUAGCAGAAGUAGGACUUGGACAUAAACCUACUGUCUCCAAAUUUGGUGUUCUUUUCCCUGGUCUGAAUUAGUGACUAGGUAAUCCAUAGGAUGUGAAAAAGAACACAAAAGUAAAGACAGUGGAUGGCAGAAAGAAAACAGCAGAGGAUUUAAAUCUUUGAGGAUUAACUUUUAAUCCAAGCUCUGCCAUUUACUGAUUUAGAGUCCUAGAAAAGCCAUUUUUUUUUCCUGUUUGGAAAAAAUAGGCAGGGCUGAUAGUCACCUCAGAAACAGUGGUACAGCCAUACUGCUUAUUAAAAUAUUGAAAUCCUUCUGUAUUAUUUGAUGACUAGCCAUUCCAUUUGUCCCCCUCCUUUCAGAUCCCCCCCAUAUUCCCAUGAUUGAGCAACAAAAGAGUUAAAGUGGGACCCAGCGGGGGGCAUUAAGGAUCCACUCCAUUUCAGGGAGGUAUGGUUGGUCCCAAACCAUAUUGGUUGUUAAAUAUUUUUAAUAUCAAGAAUGAUUAGCAAUAAUAAUGAUAACAUUCUUCCCCACUUCAGUGGGCUGCUGUUGAAGAUCAGAUAAUAUAAAACAAUGGAGAUGACAGAUCAGCUAUAAACCUUAAAAGCAAUGUUUAAAAAUGUCAUAGCAAUGACCUCUGGGGAAAAAAGUUCUGUUAUACAGAAAAUAAUGCAUAGGAUUUCACCUUGGCGAGAUUGUUGCCUAUUAGUCUAUUUAAGACUCUCAUAUGGUAAAGGAACUUAUUUUACAUCUUUAACUUUGAAUUUUCUAAUGUUUGGGAAUAGAACUCAUUUCUCAACCAUAAAACACCUAUCACAUUCUCUGCUGAUUUUGUGGAUCUUGGUUUUUGACCCUUGACUUACUGUUUUCUAUAUCUUUACCUAUUCUUAUAUAGUAUGUCUUUCUGUGCAGUGGCUCACAUGGUCCGUACCCUAGAUGCUGCUUUAGUCCAGGGUUAAAGGCACUCAACUCCCCAUGGCAGGUUUAUCACAGAGCAGAGGUCUCUAGAGUCCAGCUAUCCUAGAAUAACAAGAAUAAGGAAAAUGAUAGCAUCAUCAAAAACAAUGGCAGGACAUAUUUACUGAGUGCUUUUUACAUGUUGAGGACGCUGCUGAGUGCUUUACAUAUUCUACUGAUCAUGGUGCUUGACUCCAUUUUACCCCACAUGAUUAGUCUAAGCUAGGGGUCAGCAAACCACAGCCUGCAAGCCACCUAGUCCCUGGCCUGUUUUUGGAGGACCAUGAGCUAAGAAUAUUUUUUACAUUUUUAUAGGGUUGAA
rnacentral:lncRNA from 1 species